AGACUAAAUUUGUCUUGAUACCAAUCCAUUUAUACCAACACAUCCCCACAUUUCUGAUGAUGAAACAGAUUCCUAGAGACUUUUACUCUUCUCCUGUUGGGGGCAUUUGAGUUUGGGGCUACGACAAAGAGUGCUGUUACAAAUUCUGUUUCGUUCCUUUCUGAUGAAUAUACGUGGGCGCUUUUUUUAUUUCUGCAGUCAACGAGUAUGUAUUGAAUGCCUGCCAUGUGCCAGUCCCCAGGGAUAGAGCAUGAAUAAAACAGACAAACCAUCCCCUGUCCUUGCGGAGCUGACCUUCCAGUGGGAGCUUAUUAUACAGUAAACUUUGGCAAUAUUGAGCCAUGGAGUUGUUUUUUUUUUUGUUUUUUUUUUUUUUUUUUUUUUGAGACGGAGUCUGGCUCUGUCGCCCAGGCUGGAGUGCAGUGGCGCUAUCUCGGCUCACUGCAAGCUCCGCCUCCCGGGUUCACGCCAU
rnacentral:lncRNA from 10 species